rnacentral:tRNA from 1 species
CCUCCUUACAGAAGCCAUAACUUCUUAAGUCGUCCACACAAAUUACAAUUCUCUUUAUUGGUGAGUCUGCCGCAAGGGUCUGUAGCUCAGCUGGUUAGAGCGCACCCCUGAUAAGGGUGAGGUCGGUGGUUCAAGUCCACCCAGACCCACCAUUAUUUUUGGGGCCAUAGCUCAGCUGGGAGAGCGUCUGCCUUGCACGCAGAAGGUCGUCGGUUCGAUCCCGUCUGGCUCCACCAAUAAUCCAAAAUCUGAUGCCGCGAGACGGCGACGUGUUUUUAAAAUUAAGUGAGUUUAAGUCCAAAACGGGUUUGCAAUGCAACUUGGUUCAAUGAUCUCAAGUAAUGUAAGUGCAUACGGUGGAUGCCCUUUGGCCAAAGGGGCGAAUUCCAGCCACACUUGGCGGGCCCGUUUA